ensembl:lncRNA
CCUGGAUCUCAGUGAUCUUUGUUCUUAUCCAUAUUCUGAAUUCUAUUUCUGUCAUUUCAGCCAUUUCAGGUCAGAAAAGAACCCUUGCUGGAGAAUUACUGUGGCCAUUUGGAGGAAAGAAGACUGGUUUUUUUGAGUUGUCAGAGUUCCUGUGCUGGUUCUUUCUCAUAUUUCUGGGCUGAUGUUCCUUCAAUCUUUGAAUUUGCUGUCCUUUGGAUUAUUUUUAUUUUCUUUUAUCCUAUUUGAUGACCUUGGAUGUUUGAUUGUAACAUAAGGUGGGUAGUUGAGUAGCUCCAUUUGUGUAAAAUUUUAGGGGGCUAAGGCCCAGUUCAGGACUCCUGGACUGCAUGAUUUAACUCUGGGGGACUGAUAUUGGUCCUGUGUUUUGUCUGUUGGCUCCUCAAGAUUAGAAAUCUGCUGCACGGGAGAGGACUCAAGAUGGUGCUGUGAGAACAACCCAGGAUUGGAGCUCGCAUUGAAUCUGCAAACGUUGCCUAGGAGAAAGCAACCAUGAUGGGCAUGGAAUGAUUGUGCAAGUUCACAGAAGAGAGGAUUUCAGACAGGGUAUAAGACAUGACCAAAUCAUGAUACUGCUUGACCUCUACUCCAGACUCCUCUCACCAGAUGUCUUGAAUUUGGAGAAAAUUAAUUACGAAUUACAUUUAGAACAUGUUGGUUGAAGAUACCUGAUGUUGAAAAUCAGAGUAAAAGGUAUGAAUUUAAGGGUUACAAAUUGUGAUGUGGGUGUGCAACAGAUAGCAUAGAAAGAGAAGGGAAGACUUUCAAGGGCUGAGAGUCUAUCUUUUACUGAACACAGAAGUAUGGAUUUGACAAAGGGCUUCUCAUCCAACUUUCAUCACUUUUCCCAUUAACGAAACCUAACAGUAAAAGAGAAGAAGCAAUUUUUCAAGCUAUGUAGACCUGAAGAUUAGAAAUGAAACUAACAUUUAACUAGCAGUUAAGGAAACACUUCCACAAAUAUUAUUUAAUUCUUACCACGGCCCUAAAAGAUAAGUAUUAGUGUAGUCAGUAACAUGAAUUUCCUCUCAAAAUUUCCUUUCCAACUGCCUUUUAGAUGGAGAGUUUGGAAAUUUAAAAACUAACUUUCAGGAUUUCCUUAAUCUGGACUGUUGUAUAUAAAUUAACUUUCACAAAUUAGUUAUACUGAUGUGAGAUGAAAAGGUCAUAAAUGUGAUGGAGUUCGUUCUCUAGGUGAUAUGGUUGCUGGCUAGCACAAAUGUAGGGAUCUGGACAUUUGGAGAUAACUAUAGUGACUGGCCUCAUUGAUUCAGGGCCUGGUGAGUGACUGGGGGUGUGAGAGGUAGCUGUGGCAAUUUUCGGACCUCAGAUUUGUAGCUCUCUUGGACAUAGCCUAGAAAUAAAUAGUUAAAUCAGUUCUUUCACAUUCUACAAUUUUGCUUUUCCAAUUAUUCUGUACACUCUCUCUUAAAUACCUUCUGCUUGAAUAUUGACAUAUUUCUUAUUUAGUUUAACUUUUUUCUAUAUUAGAAUAAUUGUAGACACAUGGAAUGGUAAGAAAUAAUACAAAGCAAGACUUUGUAACUUUUAUAAAAAGCCCC